GUGUCAUGUGGUUGUCUUUUCCUUUAAACCAGAACAGGCCGUAUCUUGGAUUUCUAUUCCUUCUUUGUGAAAUAUUUGCACACAAAAUAUUAUGUAUAUCUGUAGGAAGCUAUAAAUAAGGAACACUGUUGGUCACACUGCUUCCAAUAAGCAAAUAAACCAAACCAUAACUAAGAUGAGACUACUUCAUAACCCCCACAGAGGACGUGAAGGAAAGUUCAAUGUCUGUGAAGGUUUGUUCUCCCUCGUGGUCCCAGUAUUUUUGAGCUACAACAGAAUUAUUUCUGGAGUGAGUUUUCAGAAGGAAGCAGUGGCAUGUGCCUGGGCCAGGCAGCCUGUUGCUGUUGAACAGCAAUCUUUCGUGCCAGUGGUGCCGAAACUCUGCUUUGAGGUUCGUGCCCUGAACUGCCUUUUCUCUCCCGGAGUUAAACAAAAGUCAGAGCUGAAUUUAGCCUGUGCUGGUGACGUCGCUGAAGGACACCUGUGCAUAGGACACCCAGUGCUCUGUGGAUGGUGA
rnacentral:lncRNA from 1 species